UAAGGAAUAUUGCACAAUGGGCGAAAGCCUGAUGCAGCAACGCCGCGUGAGUGAUGAAGGCCUUCGGGUUGUAAAGCUCUGUCUUCUGGGACGAUAAUGACGGUACCAGAGGAGGAAGCCACGGCUAACUACGUGCCAGCAGCCGCGGUAAUACGUAGGUGGCAAGCGUUGUCCGGAUUUACUGGGCGUAAAGGAUGCGUAGGCGGAUACUUAAGUCAGAUGUGAAAAUCCCGGGCUUAACUUGGGAACUGCAUUUGAAACUGGGUAUCUAGAGUGCGGGAGAGGAAAGUGGAAUUCCUAGUGUAGCGGUGAAAUGCGUAGAGAUUAGGAAGAACACCAGUGGCGAAGGCGACUUUCUGGACCGUAACUGACGCUGAGGCAUGAAAGCGUGGGGAGCAAACA
rnacentral:rRNA from 1 species